UGGCGUUCGCCAAUGUUCGGUUUCUCACCCUUCACACGGGUGGGGUCGCAGGUUCAAUCCCUGCAUCGCCCACCA
rnacentral:tRNA from 1 species